rnacentral:lncRNA from 1 species
GGCAACUUAGAUGCCAAUUGAGUGCUAAAAAUUAAUAAGCGAUUUUUUUCAGACACUAUGGAAUAAUGAAAAUAUUCGACUAUGCUUGGGAAUAUGGAUACGUAAUGUGAAGGACACGUUUAUGUAACCGGGCGACUGGCUACUAAAUUGAAGUUGAUAACGAGCUCAACCCACGACCAGUUGCUGAUGUUGGCGAUGCCACGUUCGGCAAUGACUACGCCUUAGUCAUGUCUAAGAAUAUUCGGUUUAACUCCACUUGUAGAAUUUAACAUAAGUCAAUUUAAUGAUUCAGGAUGGAAUACAUGGAAUUUUAAAAAACUGAGCGUAGGUUGUCAGUACGAAUGCCUGACUCUCACUGAAGUUAGAACUUCAGAAAACAUAUUUAAAUCAAAAAUUGACAUGGUUACAGUAUAUCGAAUGACAAUGAAAUAAUACAAUUACAAUUAAAG